AAGUUUGUGUAACAGCUUACUCUUUUGUAAUAGUGUAUACAUCUAUCAGUGGAUAGAUACAGUAUAUAUUUAUAAUAUAUACACACACGAUAUAUAUAUUUAACAAAAUGCCUGCAGAGGAAACUUAGAAUAAGAAAGGCAGUGCUGGUGUUCAAAUUCACAGGGACAAAAUGAAGAAAAAACCUGUAAAAACAUAGCAUCCUUUCCAUUAGGUUUUCAAAAAACCCAACACUUUUGAGGUAAAUGAAAUAUAAUUUUUUAAUUGAAAGGAAAAUUGAUUUUUCUAGUUAGAUAUGCUGAUUCUCCGCUAAAUCAUUCUGGUUAAGAAUGAUUAAGAAAAAGAUUCCUGUUACUGCUUAUAUUUUCUGAAUAAGCUUCCCAUAUCUCUCAUGUAUCACUCUAUUGUUUUUGUAAUUAUAAGUAGGGACUAAUUGUGCAAAGAAAAUCAAAAUAGUAAGUAGGAGUAACAAAUAUUGUACCAUUAGAGCAAAAGACAUCAUCUAUUAGAACAGAGAAAAUGUCAACUUCCAUGUUAAAGAAGAUAGCAAUUGCCUUCUGAGUUAUUGAUCGGCAUAAUAAGCCUUGCUUUAUAAUCGCAUUAGGAGGUUUUAGUACAAAAUUUAGGGAAAAGGAACCCUGUAAACCCAUGGCUUUUUGUUUUCACAGAGGCCCAAAAAAGACACCAGGCCAUGGCAGUCAGUUACCUGGUGCCGUGGGUGUCUCUGGAGCUUCCAGCAUUCAUGGGCAAGGCUCUGCAUCUAUUCCUUGCCCUGACGCCUCCCGUGAGCCAGCCUGCACACAUGGCGGGGCUCAGCACCCCUUGGAGCUGCCUGGCGUAACAGAGAAAUACCCAGUAAAUUGGGUUUGAAGGAUUUCUUUUUUUUCCCACAGAUCACUUUAAUGCCUUCAUGUCCAAGGCCCAGACUCGAACAGGUAAAUCUUCCCCUUAAGCUUGUUAGGAGGAAACUUCAAGCAGCUUCAAGAAUACAUUUGGGGUAGGUGAGAAAAUCCACAAAUUUUGAUUGCCAGAACCUUCAAAACUGGACAGAAGCCCCCCUGGAGCUGGGUCCUUGUGGGACUUACCCUGUCUCAGCUGUUCUGUGUGGAAAUUCCUCCUUUGGGCCCUUUGUGAGAUGUUAGCAUCUGCAUUAGUCCUGGCUGGAGGAGCAAAACCAGCAUCCCUUUAUUUAGAGAGCCACAAAAUUAAACGCUCAAUAGCAUUCAACUCAAAUUUGGGUCUUAAACUUGAUUUUUUCCCUUUUCUGCCUCCAGCCUCAGCUGUAAAUUUCUAUUUGAGAAGGUUCAGUGCUGUAAAAGCAGCAUUUGGCUUUCUGCAAGUCCCAGCCCCGAUUUGGUUUUAAACAAAUCUGAUCAUGAAAAGUAUUAACACUGCACUCUAGUUCUGAAACCUCCGUCAGCGGGAUGCUGUUAAUUCGCAUGCCACGGAGUCAAGCAGAGGUCGGCGUGGAUGGGCCAUUAAUAACUGAAGCAAAAAUGUUUUUUAGUAACAAAAUGUCAAACAACAUAAAAGCCAGCCAGCUGCAUGCCAGUGUGGUUUCUAUCCACACACCCCUCCCUAGCCGACAUCCAAACCUGCGCAUACCUAAAAGCGAUGCGGUUAAUUAGGAUCAUUCCCACAGAGAAAGCUUUAGGGAGGUUGAAUGGUAUGUGCAAUGGAUAUGAUAGGAUUUAGCUUGUAGUUGAGGUGGGAGAGUGACAGAUGCAAUACUGGAUCAUGGGAAAUUAUGAUGCAAACACAGAAUGCUUGCCCUAAAACAGCAAAACCUGGAGAGUAUUAUUGGACUCUGUUGUGAAGGCACAUCACCCUUCCUAUGCAAUUGAACUUGAUGGUACUUUAGUAUAAAGGUGACCUAGACUGUAAUCACUGCCUUUAGACACUGUGAAUUUUUUUGGGGUACUCUGUAUUUUUAUAUAUUGUACAAUGUAAAGAAUAAUUCAGAAAUAAAACAGACC
ensembl:lncRNA